GCAGAACUCUCUGUUAAUUGAUCCAUAAUUAUCCAGUUCAUCUGCAGCAUCUUGAUCUCUUCUACCUUGUCCCAUCUUCCUAAGGUCUUCCCUCCCUUAGCAGUGUGGUAAGGUACAAAGGCUAGGAACCAGGGGUCCUAGAGAUUGCGAUCGUAUCCCAGCUCUGCUGCAUACAAGCCAAGAACCCUAUCAGAGCAUCCCAUGACUGUUGCCAGCUUCUUCACUAGUGUGGAGAUACAGUCAAUCUCAUAAGCAUAUCAAGGAAGGACAACAUGUGAUGAUAUACUUAGUGCCCAGGAGAUGCUCCUGAGAAAGUAACAUGAGGUAGAUGCUCAGAAAAUAAAGGUUCAUUUCCUCCCCAACCUGCAGAUGUGUUGGAAGUCAUGUGACACACCUAA
rnacentral:lncRNA from 1 species